AAUCUUCCACAAUGGACGAAAGUCUGAUGGAGCAACGCCUCGUGAGCGCAGAAGGUUUUCGGUACGUAAAGCUCUGUUCCGAGGGAAGAACAAGUACGGGAGUAACUGCCUGUACCUUGACGGUACCUCAUCAGAAAGCCACUGCUAACUACGUGCCAGCAGCCGCGGUAAGACGUAGGUGGCAAGCGUUGUCCGGAAUUAUUGGGCGUAAAGCGCGCGAAGGCGGUCCUUUAAGUCUGAUGUGAAAGCCCACGGCUCAACCGUGGAGGGUCAUUGGAAACUGGAGGACUUGAGUACAGAAGAGGAAAGCGGAAUUCCACGUGUAGCGGCGAAAUGCGUAGAGAUGUGGAGGAACACCAGUGGCGAAGGCGGCUUUCUGGUCUGUAACUGACGCUGAGGCGCGAAAGCGUGGGGAGCAAACA
rnacentral:rRNA from 1 species